GCCGGGAUGGUGGAAUGGAAUACACGUAGCUCUCAAAAAGCUAUGAGCCAAAAGCUCAUGAGGGUUCAACUCCCUCUCUCGGCA
rnacentral:tRNA from 1 species